GGUUAAGUUAACAAGGGCGCAUGGUGAAUGCCUUGGCACUAGGAGCCGAUGAAGGACGGGACUAACACCGAUAUGCUUCGGGGAGCUGUACGUAAGCUAUGAUCCGGAGAUUUCCGAAUGGGGCAACCCAGCAGUUUUAAUCAACUGUUACCACUAGAUGAAUUCAUAGUCUAGUUGGAGGUAAACGCUGUGAACUGAAACAUCUCAUUAGCAGCAGGAAUAUAAAGAAAUUUCGAUUCCCUAAGUAGCGGCGAGCGAACGGGGAACAGCCCAAACCAAAGUGCUUGCACUUUGGGGUUGUAGGACUGAACAUUUGAGUUACCAAAGAACUUGAUAGUCGAAGGAUUUGGGAAAAUCCGCCAUAGAUGGUGAUAGCCCAGUAGAUUAAAUCAAAUUCUCUCAGUUCAGGAUCCUGAGUACGGCGGAACACGUGAAAUUCCGUCGGAAUCCGGGAGGACCAUCUCCCAAGGCUAAAUACUACCUAGUGACCGAUAGUGAACCAGUACCGUGAGGGAAAGGUGAAAAGCACCCCGGGAGGGGAGUGAAAUAGUUCCUGAAACCAUGUGCCUACAAUAAGUCAGAGCGCGUUAAUGCGUGAUGGCGUGCCUUUUGUAGAAUGAACCGGCGAGUUAUGAUCCCGUGCAAGGUUAAGACUAAAAAGUCGGAGCCGUAGCGAAAGCGAGUCUGAAAUGGGCGUUUUGAGUACGAGGUUAUAGACCCGAAACCAGGUGACCUAUCCAUGUCCAGGUUGAAGGUGCGGUAAAACGCACUGGAGGACCGAACCCGUGUAAGUUGAAAAUUGCUGGGAUGAGGUGUGGAUAGCGGUGAAAUUCCAAACGAACUUGGAGAUAGCUGGUUCUCUCCGAAAUAGCUUUAGGGCUAGCCUCGGAAUUAGGAUCAUGGAGGUAGAGCACUAUUUGGACUAGGGGCCCGUCUUGGGUUACUGAAUUCAGAUAAACUCCGAAUGCCAUUGAUUCAUAUCCGGGAGUCAGACGAUGAGUGAUAAGAUCCACCGUCGAAAGGGGAACAGCCCAGACCAUCAGUUAAGGUCCCUAAAUGUAUGCUAAGUGGAAAAGGAUGUGGAGUUGCAUAGACAACUAGGAUGUUGGCUCAGAAGCAGCCACCAUUUAAAGAGUGCGUAAUAGCUCACUAGUCGAGUGAUCCUGCGCCGAAAAUGUACCGGGGCUAAGCAUACUACCGAAACCAUGGAUGCGACCAUUAGGUCGCGUGAUAGGAGAGCGUUCUAAGGGCGGUGAAGCAAGAUCGUGAGGACUUGUGGAGCGCUUAGAAGUGAGAAUGCCGGUAUGAGUAGCGAAAGAUAGGUGAGAAUCCUAUCCACCGAAUGACUAAGGUUUCCUGGGGAAGGCUCGUCCUCCCAGGGUUAGUCGGGACCUAAGUCGAGGCCGAGAGGCGUAGACGAUGGAUAACAGGUUGAGAUUCCUGUACUAGUUAAGUGCGUUUGAGCAAUGGAGGGACGCAGGAGGCUAAGAUGUGCAUUCUGUUGGAUUAGAAUGUCCAAGCAGUAAGUCUUGUGAAGAGUCAAAUGCUUUUCACUUUAAGGACAAGCUGUGAUGGGGAGCGAAAUUUAGUAGCGAAGCGUCUGAUGUCACACUGCCGAGAAAAGCUUCUAGUGAGUACUUAACUACCCGUACCGCAAACCGACACAGGUAGUCGAGGAGAGAAUCCUAAGGUGAGCGAGUGAACUCUCGUUAAGGAACUCGGCAAAAUGACCCCGUAACUUCGGGAGAAGGGGUGCUGAUCGCAAGAUCAGCCGCAGUGAAUAGGCCCAGGCGACUGUUUAUCAAAAACACAGGUCUCUGCAAAAUCGUAAGAUGACGUAUAGGGGCUGACGCCUGCCCGGUGCUGGAAGGUUAAAAGGAUGGGUUAGCUUCGGCGAAGCUCAGAAUUGAAGCCCCAGUAAACGGCGGCCGUAACUAUAACGGUCCUAAGGUAGCGAAAUUCCUUGUCGGGUAAGUUCCGACCCGCACGAAAGGCGUAACGAUCUGGGCACUGUCUCAACGAGAGACUCGGUGAAAUUAUAUUGUCCGUGAAGAUGCGGACUACCCGCGACAGGACGGAAAGACCCCAUGGAGCUUUACUGUAGCUUGAUAUUGAGUGUUUGUACAGCUUGUACAGGAUAGGUAGGAGCCAUAGAAACCGGAACGCUAGUUUCGGUGGAGGCGUUGGUGGGAUACUACCCUCGCUGUAUGACCACUCUAACCCGCACCACUAAUCGUGGUGGGAGACAGUGUCAGGUGGGCAGUUUGACUGGGGCGGUCGCCUCCUAAAAAGUAACGGAGGCGCCCAAAGGUUCCCUCAGAAUGGUUGGAAAUCAUUCGCAGAGUGUAAAGGCACAAGGGAGCUUGACUGCGAGACAGACAGGUCGAGCAGGGACGAAAGUCGGGCUUAGUGAUCCGGUGGUACCGCAUGGAAGGGCCAUCGCUCAACGGAUAAAAGCUACCCUGGGGAUAACAGGCUUAUCUCCCCCAAGAGUCCACAUCGACGGGGAGGUUUGGCACCUCGAUGUCGGCUCAUCGCAUCCUGGGGCUGUAGUCGGUCCCAAGGGUUGGGCUGUUCGCCCAUUAAAGCGGUACGCGAGCUGGGUUCAGAACGUCGUGAGACAGUUCGGUCCCUAUCCGUCGCGGGCGUAGGAAAUUUGGGAGGACCUGUCCUUAGUACGAGAGGACCGGGAUGGACAUACCUCUGGUGUACCAGUUGUGCCGCCAGGCGCAUCGCUGGGUAGCUACGUAUGGAUGUGAUAAACGCUGAAAGCAUCUAAGUGUGAAACACACCUCGAGAUGAGAUUUCCCAUUCCUUUAUGGAAGUAAGACCCCUGAAAGAUGAUCAGGUAGAUAGGUUAGAAGUGGCAGUGCGGUGACGCAUGAAGCGGACUAAUACUAAUCGGUCGAGGACUUAACCAA
rnacentral:rRNA from 1 species